GUAGGUGGCAAGCGUUGUCCGGAAUUAUUGGGCGUAAAGCGCGCGCAGGCGGUUCUUUAAGUCUGAUGUGAAAGCCCACGGCUCAACCGUGGAGGGUCAUUGGAAACUGGAGAACUUGAGUACAGAAGAGGAAAGCGGAAUUCCACGUGUAGCGGUGAAAUGCGUAGAGAUGUGGAGGAACACCAGUGGCGAAGGCGGCUUUCUGGUCUGUAACUGACGCUGAGGCGCGAGAGCGUGGGGGGAGCAAACAGGAUUAGAUACCCUGGUAGUCCACGCCGUAAACGAUGAGUGCUAAGUGUUAGGGGGUUUCCGCCCCCCCCUUAGUGCUGCAGCUAACGCAUUAAGCACUCCGCCUGGGGAGUACGGCCGCAAGGCUG
rnacentral:rRNA from 1 species